ACCAUUUAAUGGACAAUAAAAAUUUGAAUAGAUAGUGAUAAUAUUCAUGCGCCGCUUAGAUUGUCCAUCCUCACCAACGGUUGUCCGACUUCUUGAUCUUCUUAUCUUCCUCUCUCACAUCAUCAUUGUCGUCGUCAACAUCAUCAUCGUCAUUUGCACAUACCAAUUCUUAGCCGAAAGGAUUUGAAUUCGAUAUUUAGAGUCUGAUUCGCUUUUGAAGGACAUAUUUUGCGACGCACGAAUCCGUUGUUAAGUGGUGGUGGACGGUGGUGGUGAUGAUGGACGGCAUUGUAACAGAUGUAAAGCUUUGUGCAAUAUGGACGGGUUCCACAAGUGAAAGGCCCCUUGAUCUUUUUCUAUCCAGAUAAAGUCUCCUCAUUUUUCGCCUCUCUUUACAAAAGAUAUAGGCAUCCAUCAUUUUUUUGGAGCUGUAAUAAGGUUUUAAAAUGAAAGUGAUAGUAAGUCUAAUAAAUAAAACGAUUUAUAUUAAACGCCAUUGUUAUCCAUUUUGGUAGUCAAAUGUCUAAAAUCUAGUAAAAGUUUAACAAAUGCCAAUAAU
rnacentral:lncRNA from 1 species